rnacentral:lncRNA from 1 species
UGAUUUGACUUGUGUACUGAUGAUAUUUAUGAAAUGUGAUUGACGUGCAUAUUUGAGAUGUGGUUUGAUUUGCAUGAUCGGUAUAAUGUGAUGAAAUGUGAGGGCUAGUAGUGGACCAUUAACCCAUUGCUAGAGGGUUUGUUACUUCAGAGCUUGUUUCAUAUCUUGUUUCAUUGUUUCAUUUCUCAUUUUGUUUAUCCGUUCUAAAGUUAAUACUUGUGCUUUGUUUCAUUUCAUUGAGCCUUUGUAAAUUGAGCACUUGGUUUAUGUUUUGUUCUUCGAGCCAUUGAUAUGUUUCUUGGUCUUAUGUUCGAUUUCGUUGAGUGAUCCGGAACUGGGUAUUCGCUAGGCUUUCGUUGAGUGGUCCGGUUCCCUGCUCCAUUUGGAUUCCAUUUCGAGGUUUAGAAUCCCUCGUGAUCCGCAAUUCCAUUGAGUGGUCCCGAAUCGUAUCCUACCUUGGAUUUCAUUAAGUGGUCUGAAAUCCAUUGUGCUCCGCAAUUCCGUUAAGUGGUCCGGAAUCAUAUCCACUCGGAUUUGGUUGAAAGGUCCGGAAUCCCUUAUACUCUACAAUUUUGUUAAGUGGUCUGGAAUCGUAUCCUAGUUUGGAUUUCGUUGAGUGGCCCGGAAUCCCACUUAGUGUUUUGGCUCCAUUGAGUGGUCCGAAAUCCCAUUCUUCAGAGAUGUAGGCUUUGGCCAAACAGUGUCACUCUAGCCCUGCAUUUUGAUGCUUGGUAUGUGAUAUAGAUUGAUGCGGUUAUGGAAUGGUGUAGAAAGCAUAUGUGUACAUGAUUGGCAUACCUGUGUGAAUGACAUAAUGACAAUUAUUGUUUGUCUUAUGGUUGAUGUGUGACAGUGGUACAUGGAUGCUCCUGCUUGGUAUAUCCGCGAUGAGGGACCAUAUGCAUUCUAGGAGUGAUCAUGCUUGGUGGGUGAUCACUACCUAGAGUUAGGAUGUGGUCCUGCUUGGAAUAUCCGUGAUGAGGGACCAUACGUAUUCAGGGGUGAUCAUGCUUGGUAUAUCCACGAUGGGUGAUCAUUGCCUGCACGAUGAGAUUAUGCCUAUGGUUUUGCUUGGUAUAUCUAAGAUGGGGGACCAUACGCAUUCUAGGGGUGAUGAGGAUUAGUUGUACUUGGUACAUUUGAAAUAAGUGACCAUAGUUUAGUUGGAUUCCGUUGAGUGGUCUAGAAUCCUUACUUUUGCUCACUUCCAUAAAGUUAGUUUUGUGGAUGCAAAUUUCCGCCUUCUUCUUGGACAAAAUUGCACCUACAAAACAAUUAACACCUUAGGUCAAGGCCAAGAGCCUCACGUGUCCACGAUGAAUGGAGGGGGGCCUUGGCCAAAGAACCUUCGAUGCCUACGUUAGAAUUUAGAGAAAAAAGUAUUUGGAGAGUUUUUGGGAGUUUUGCAAGAGUGUGGAACUCUCUUUUUUAGGAAAAAAAAAUAGGGUCAUAUAUAGGGAAUGGAGGUGGCCGGCCUUUAGAAGUUUUUUUGUGUGAAAAUGGGUGAUUUAAUUGGUGAUUAAUGGAUUAAUUAGGAAUUAAUCUAUUAAUUAGCCAAUUAAUCUCCAUUUAUAUGGAAUAAUUGGUAGGUUAUGAAGUAAUUACCUAAGAUGAGGAUGAGAUAAUUUGGAAUUGGUUACCUUUUAUGGACACUCUUGGCUUGAUUAAAGAAUGAUUGUCCAUUGCUUGCACUUAAGACAACCGGUGUGUCUCAAGGGUAACUUUGUCAUUUUUACAAAAAAUCCACGUGUCGCCUUGUAAUUAUUUUUGGCUCCACAAAUGCCACCACACCUGCUGAGCUGCUCAUAAGAAAGGGCAACAAGUAUAGAGAUCUUCUUACUCUAGGAAACUUAGGAUUGCUUCCUGUUUUGAUGUAGACUCCCUUUUUAAUAUGAAAUUAGAUCCUUCUAGGAAAGGGAAAUAAAUUUAUCUCAAAGCCUAUUUAAGUCCACCUUAAGUGGGUUAUUAAAUCAACUGUGGAGAGUGAUUUAUUCUACCUUACAAGAGAGAGCUUAGAGGAUAUUUGUUCCCCCUCCUUUAGCAAUCUUCUACAUCUUGCCUGUGCAAAUGACCGUCUUUUGUUUCUUUCUUUGUCUUCUCCAUGCCGCACCAAUGUAAUAAAAACUUAAUUUCUUCUUAUCUUCUUCUUGGGUGGUGCUGCCACGGGGCAGUCAUCGGGGUGGUGCGGCACGUCGACUGGUAGGGGCUAGGAGUUGGCUUGGCAUGGGCCAAGAAUGUGAUGUGGCAAAGGCCAUUGCUUGAGCAGCUCGGCUUGAUUGAAGCCAAGGAUUGGUUCGGCAUGGGCCGAGGAAGUGACGUGGAAUAGGCAAUUGUUUGGGCGGCCACGUCUGGGCUGCUUGCUGAAAGUGACGAAACUGGUUGAGUUUGAUUUUUCAACUGCCAUAGAUGGAGCAGUCAAGGAUGAAGCUGCCAAGAUCAGAGUUGCUGAAGAUGCAGUGUCGAAUGAGCGAACUGUUAAGUGUAAAAGUG